GAUGAACGCUGGCGGCGUGCUUAACACAUGCAAGUCGAACGAAGCACUUUAUUUGAUUUCCUUCGGGACUGAUUAUUUUGUGACUGAGUGGCGGACGGGUGAGUAACGCGUGGGUAACCUGCCUUGUACAGGGGGAUAACAGUUGGAAACGGCUGCUAAUACCGCAUAAGCGCACAGCAUCGCAUGAUGCAGUGUGAAAAACUCCGGUGGUAUAAGAUGGACCCGCGUUGGAUUAGCUAGUUGGUGAGGUAACGGCCCACCAAGGCGACGAUCCAUAGCCGACCUGAGAGGGUGACCGGCCACAUGGGGACUGAGACACGGCCCAAACUCCUACGGGAGGCAGCAGUGGGGAAUAUUGCACAAUGGGCGAAAGCCUGAUGCAGCGACGCCGCGUGAGCGAAGAAGUAUUUCGGUAUGUAAAGCUCUAUCAGCAGGGAAGAUAAUGACGGUACCUGACGAAGAAGCACCGGCUAAAUACGUG
rnacentral:rRNA from 1 species